AAUUCUGAUCUUUCUUUGAGACAAGGUGUCAUGUAGCCCAGGCGAAGCUCAAAGUUAUUAUGACCUUUUAAAUACCUUGAAUUCCUGAUCCUUCUGUUUCCAUCUCCAGAGUAUUGGACUGCAGGCAUGUACCACGAUGCCUAGCUAUGAGCUCUGAAUUUUCUUGAUUGGCAAGAAAUAGCUGAGAGAUGGUAAAAGGCUUUGCUAUGUAUUUACCCAAACUAUCCUUAGCUGGGUCUGAACCCAUUUUCAAAACAUACUUAGAAACAAAGGCUAAAGAGAAGGCUUAGAUGUUAAACCACUCACUGUUCUGCACAGGAUCCAGGCUUAGUUCCCAGCACCUACAUGGCAGCCCAGAACUGCUAUAACACCAGUUCUAUGGGGAGACAAUGUCCUCUUCUGGCUUCCUUGGGCUCCUACAUAUAUGCGGUGUACAUAAACUAACGUAGAUACACAUCUCAUUACAAUAAUACUUUAAAAAUGAAUAUUGUCUGGUGGAGAAAAAUGUUUCCGUAGUUUGACUAAGACAUCUCAUCCUCAGGGUUUUAUUUCAAAGAAACAGUCAGAGGCAUUGUUUUGUAGACACAGAGGUUCAUUUUGUAAGUAAACCUUUACUUUGCUGUGAUUGACAGAUAUCAGUAAUUGUCAAAAUGAAUGAACCGCUGUUAACGUACUAUUAACUUAAGCGCAUACUUAGUGUGGUGAGGAGGCACAUUUCUUUAUUCCCAGAACUCAGGAGGCAGAGGCAGGCAGAUCUCUAUGAGUUUGAGGCUAGCCUGGUCUAAAUUCUGAAUUCUAGGCUAACCAGAGCUAUGUAGAUGGCAAGACCUUGUCUCUAAAACAAGCUCUAUCCCAGUUAGGGUUACUAUCGCGAUGCUGAAACACCGUGACCAAAGCAACCUGGGGAGGAAAGGGUUUGUUUGGCUUCUGUUUCAUCCCCACUGUUCAUCAUCAGAGGAAGUCAGGGCAGGAAUGCUGACAGGCAGGAACCUGGAGGCAGGAGCUGAUGCAGAGGCCAUGGAGGGUGCUGCUUACUGGCUUGUUCCUCAUGACUUGCUCAGCCUGCUUUCUUCAGGACCACCAGCCCAGGAAUGGCAUCACCCGAGGUGGGCUGUGCCCUCCCCCAUCAAUCACUAUUAAUUAAAUGACCUAGAGCAGAUGUUUUUUGUUUGUUGUUUUUGUUUUGAGACAGUGUCUCACUAUUUUUCUCUGAUUGUCCUGGAACUCACUAUGUAGACAAAGUUGGUCUUGAACUCACAGAGUUAUGCUUGCCUCUGCCUCCCAAAUGCCUGGUAUUAAAGGUGUGCACUACCAUGCCCAGCUACCUACAGUCAGAUCUUUAUUAGAGACAUUUUGUUAAUUGAGAUUCCUUCCUCUCAGAUGUCUUUGGCCCCGUGUUAAGUUAACAUAAAACUUUCCAGUAUACUUCCUCCAAGUAUACUUUCUCUUUCUUUUCUUCCCACCCCAAGUCACAGUCUCUCUGUGUUUAGCCUAGGCUAGCCUUGAGUCACCUCUGGAAUACUAGAAUUACAAGCAUUCACCCUCAAAACUGACGUUCAUGUGUGUGUGUGUGUGUGUGUGUGUGUGUGUGUGUGUGUGUGUGUAUGUGUGUGCAUGCCAAGGUUGGAGAACAACUUUUAGGAGUCAGUUUUCUCCUUGUGCUUUGGUUUCUGGGGAUUGAACUCAUUUUGUUAGGUUUGCACAAGUGUUUUUGCCCAUUGAGCCAUCUCACUGGACCUUGUAUACUUUUUAACAUAAUGGUCGUUUUUGUUCCAGGAUUCUAUCCACAAUACUCAGUUACAUGUGGUGCCCAGAUAUGUAUCCUUAGGUUCCUCAAGUCAGUGAGAGUUUCUUGAAUUUUCCUUGUUUUGGAAUGGCCUCUACACUGAGCUACAUACCCAGUGAUAUUUAGUAUUUAACAAUAAAAAGGAUUUAAAAUAUUUUUAUUUUCUUGUUUAUUUGGACACAGCGGUCUUAUUACAUAAGUUUUGCUGUUGAAGAACUUGCUAUGUAGUCCAGGUUGGCCUGAACCCACAGACAUUCUCCUGCCUCUGCUUCCCAAGUGCUAGAACUAAAAGUGCCUGCUAUCAUGCUCAGCUUAGGAAUUAUUUUUGAAAUUAGAAAGACAUACACUGGCAUGGAGAACUUUUAAAACAUAUUUCUGUGCACGUGUACACAUGUAUAACCCUACAUACACGAACAGGUUAGUGGACAGCUAUGGGAGUUGGUUUUGUCCUUCCAGCAUGUAGUUCCCAAGGAUGGAACUUAGUUGUCAAAUUUGCCAGCAGGAACCUUUACUCCCUGAGCCAGCUUGCUGCCCUGGAAAAAGUAACCUUUAAAAGAUGGCCUCGCUAGGAGGACAGGUGUUCCAGUGCAGUGCUAAGCAAGCACAUCGUGUAGCCUUGUGUCACUGUCUAUGAAGGAACCGAAAUCAGUGGUGUGGGGCAGAGUGGGUGUUGUCCUCAGAAUUCUGCAGUUUCUAGGAAACUGGGCACCAUCUGUUUCUGAUUAGAGCAUUGAACUUGCAAGAUCAUGAGCUGGGUCUUUGUUACUCUCAACAAAGUCAAGAAGAAGAAGAAGGAGAAGCAGCAGCAGCAGCAGCAGCAGCAGCAGCAGCAGCCGCAGAAGAAGAAGAAGAAGAAGAAGAAGAAGAAGAAGAAGAAGAAGAAGAAGAAGAAGAAGAAGAAGAAGAAGAAGAAGAAGAAGAAGAGUAGUGAUACCAAAUGCUAAGGAUGCCUGUUAACGAGUUUCAAAUCCCAGCCAUGUCUGUUAUGAGCUGUAUGAUCUGAGGACAACUGCACAAGUAAUACGAGUUUCCUCCUCUGAAAACAAAGGCGACAUUAUGCGGCCAGUGGGAACAGUACGGGAUUAAAUGAGGCUUGCCAUACAUCUGCAGAGGAUCUAAAUCAGUGCUUGGCACCAGUGAGGCAUUUCGCCUUCCCUGCCACCUUCCCUUUCUCCCUCCAUGCAUCCGAGGAGGCUAUGGCUUGUGUUAUCUCUCGCUAAGACGACCACACGCUAAAGGAUCAAACCUAAACAGAGCUGGCUUCCAGGGUCCCCUCAUGUGAACCCACACCCUGUCUUUGUGGCCUCCCCACUUUCUACCAUACACACAUCACUCUGUAGCCACACCCAAUUACUAGCUCUUGUCUAAAUACAUGGUACGAUCUCUGUAA